CUCACUCUCAUUCACAGAGAUGUUGGUCUCUCUCAGCAGCAUGGGAAGUGCUGGGCAGCGUUUGGCAUGCUUGCAGUUCUUGUCAGGUUUUGACAUUUGUGGCUUGCCCGUGAGCAACCUGACUGGGAGAAGUUCUUAGCGUGCUUGUUCCAUUUGUCCACCACUGAAUAGUCAGAGCUCCAAGGAAUUGGGGAGGAGGCUUGAGUCAAACAUUCAGGACUUCUGCAAAAAGAAAAAAAAUGCCACCAUACCUGUGGGAUCUCCUCCCUCUUCAAACCUCCCUUGAGAAAAACCUCUUGUCAAUCUAACUACAAAAGCCUUUGGGAGGCUUAUAUUAGAAACAAA